rnacentral:tRNA from 1 species
GGCCCGUUAGCUCAGUUGGUUAGAGCGUGGUGCUAAUAACGCCAAGGUCGUGGGUUCGAUCCCACCACGGGCCA